GAUGAACGCUGGCGGCGUGCUUAACACAUGCAAGUCGAACGAGAAGUGAAGACGGAAACCUUCGGGCGGAAGGCUUUAUUUCGAGUGGCGGACGGGUGAGUAACGCGUGGGUAACCUGCCUCAUACAGGGGGAUAACAGUUGGAAACGACUGUUAAUACCGCAUAAGACCACAGCACCGCAUGGUGCGGGGGUAAAAACUCCGGUGGUAUGAGAUGGACCCGCGUUCGAUUAGCCAGUUGGCGGGGUAACGGCCCACCAAAGCGACGAUCGAUAGCCGAUCUGAGAGCAUGACCGGCCACAUUGGGACUGAGACACGGCCCAAACUCCUACGGGAGGCAGCAGUGGGGAAUAUUGCACAAUGGGGGAAACCCUGAUGCAGCGACGCCGCGUGAGUGAAGAAGUAUUUCGGUAUGUAAAGCUCUAUCAGCAGGGAAGAAAAUGACGGUACCUGAGUAAGAAGCCCCGGCUAACUACGUG
rnacentral:rRNA from 1 species